GGUCCAGGUUUGGCUGCUCUGGAAGCUGAGCUAGUGAUGAUUAUGUUAUCCCUGGCUGAAUUUAAUCUUUCCUCUGUGGAAGCAUGACUCUGAGGCUCAGCGUUAAAGACACAAAGGUAAAAGCAAAGUCUGUUACAUGAACUAGCUCUGUCCCCUUCCUCUGCUUCAGAGCAUGGCAUGGCAUCGAGCAAGGGUGAAAACACUCACCUGCCUGGGCAGCUGAUUCCUUCGCUGGACUGACAGCAAACCUGCACGAUGGUGAGAAACAUCAGCACCCAUCUCAUCAUAGUCAAAUUUUGCCCCAUUGCUGGGCUAUGGAAGAGGAAAUCGUUCUGCAGAAUCCUGGGGUUGUACCAACUCCCAAAGACAGCUUUGGCAAGAGGGCAGCUGAAGAUCAAUAACAUUCACCGACAGGCUUGAACUGGCAAACUUGACGACAAUGGACUUCCUUAUGAAAUUAAGAAGCGACAGAAGGAAGAUUGUCCUGGAGUGGGUCACGCAAGAUACCAAUACAUCGUGUGAAAUGGCCACCUGUGCGUAACUGCAGGCUCCUCCUCGCCACUCAGUGCUUGCUGCAACCGCGUCACGGGACCUGAUCUACAGGUGGCUGGAGGAAAAUGUGGUUCCUUACUGUCUUCUGUUCCAGAAUAAAAUAAGUUAUGGAAAAGUUUACGUUGGUUUUUGGUUGGUUUUUUUUUUUUGGAAAGGUUAUCUACUUGAACAGAAAUGGUUCUGAGCAGGUAGGAAGGAUUUGGGGUUAAAAUGCUUGGCGGUUGUGAGCUUACCCUUCAUAGCAAAACUUGCUCCUCCCUGAUACCUAAAGACUUCGGUGUCUGCAGACACUGAAAGUUGAAGAAAAGCAAUUCAUGUGCCAAAACUACUUAGGGCGAAGCUGGGGCUGGUGACACAAAUCUCGUGGUCUGCUUGGAAGCUCAAGGAUAAGGGAGAAGAAGCGAGCGGCCAUAGCACAGCCAUCAGGUUCCUUGUCUGCUUAGCCCUUAAAAUGGAGUGUGUUUAACUCCAGGGCUCGGCUACACCCUUGGCUAAAAACCCUUCCUUUUUGAAAUGGGAAGGGAGGGUGUGCGCUGUAGUUCCUGAUGCGCACAAAGAGCUGCCCGUGAGCUGGAUGGGAUUCCUGGCAGGAUGCUGCCCUGUGACAACACUCAUUUCUAAAACCUGUUCUUUUUGUCAGGGUGCUGCUAAUUGCCAUUGCCUGCAUGGGCUGUGCUGAGGCUUGGCUGCAGCUGGUUCUAGGAAGUUUUAGUGCUCUCGGUCAGGUGAUGUGAGGAUCAGGCUCAUUCUUGUCAUGAAAGAGGCUUUGCUGAGUGCUUGCAAAUAAAAACAAAAAAAAAAAAAACCAAAAACACCCAGGCCUAACAGGCUGCCUUGGUACCAUUGUAAGGUGGCUCCGAUGAGAACAAAGGUUAAUUUGAGACCUGGGAACACAGGAUAGGCUCCAAGCUGGAGAUUACAUCUGAAAUGGCUUACAGACUAAUCCUCGUAAUGCUCAUUUGAGCUGGCUGAAAGCAGCCUGCUGUGAGCUCGAGGGGGUUUUGAGGUUCCCUGGCUCCUGGCCGGGAUAUCUGCAGCCGGCCAUCUCUGCAGUAACUGGUUCCUCCUGGGCUGACAGCAGACAGCAUCCCAAGUGGAAAAGGGCUGCGCUCAGAGCUGCUCCCAGCAAUCUGGCACCGUGCCGGGCACCAGGCCUCCUGGCCAGCCCGGGUCUCUGUGGUUUAACCCGGCUCCCAUCCCUGCCUCUGGGGCCAUUCCCCAAUCAAAGGCUUGCUCUGCUACGCACUACAGCUGCUGCUGCAAGAGGUGAGGGGGGGUCUCACCCCCACCCUGCUCACCAAAACAACAGAAACGGGCGUAAAAGAAAACCAUCAUUCAACAUUUAUGUAAUUACACAAAGUGGGAAAGUGUCUCAGAUUACACACUGCUGCGCCGUAUCAACCCUCCGGCACCACCAGCAGGAGCAGCCUUCCCAGCGGGUCUUCCUUAGCAGCGCUGGCUGGCAUGGGAUGGCCAAAGGUUCAAGACCUUCACCUCCCUCUGUGGUUUUUUUUGGCGAGGAAAACUUAGACUCACCCAACGAGCUAACAGGCUCCCUAACCCACCUGGUGUGGGGCUGCCUUCCCAGAGCACUUGGAGGGCACCAUGUGGUCCCCGUGCAAGAAAACACCAGCACACCCACCACCACACACAGGCGGGCUGUAGGCAGCACUUGUCUCGGGAUGCUCAAAGGCCAGCUGUGUUCUGGAUGUCCCAGCUGAGCUGCAGUAACCCUACUCUUAGCUGAUGGCUCUUAAGACCCUUCCUUGUUUGAUAACACUGUGACCUAGAGAAGGGGCAAAUGCCAGGGCACAGCAUGCGUCUGUCACAGGAGAGGGCCACCAAGCCGAUGGCUUUCCCACUGACCAUGGAGGCAAACCAGUCUUUGCGGGAAGUGGCACACAUCAUCCCAGAGCUGGCUGGAGUUUGGGCUUCCUGUGGAGGGAGGUGUUCUCCAAACACACCACCUUCCUGUCAGCUGGAUGAUCUCAUCUCCAGUUCAAGGAUUCAUCGUACCUGCUGUGGUCCCACCAUGGUGAUGAGCGUUUGAGCUGGGGUGCAACAGCAAGGUGGAGGGCAUCCUCCACCCAGAGGCUGUCA